UACAGAGGUCUCAAGCGUUGUUCGGAUUCAUUGGGCGUAAAGGGUGCGUAGGCGGCGCGGUAAGUCGGGUGUGAAAUCUUGGAGCUUAACUCCGAAACUGCAUUCGAUACUGCCGUGCUUGAGGACUGGAGAGGAGACUGGAAUUUACGGUGUAGCGGUGAAAUGCGUAGAUAUCGUAAGGAAGACCAGUGGCGAAGGCGGGUCUCUGGACAGUUCCUGACGCUGAGGCACGAAAGCCAGGGGAGCAAACAGG
rnacentral:rRNA from 1 species